GCUUUACUGUAUCCUGAGAUUGAAUUUGGGUUUAUUAUGCGCAGUAUAGGUGGGAGGCUUAGAUAUUACACUUGAGGGUGUUUUGGAGCCGAUAGUGAGAUACCACUCUUAAUAAACUAAGAUUCUAACCUUGAUAGCCGUAAUCCGGCCAAUGGACAGUCUCAGGUGGGCAGUUUGACUGGGGCGGUCGCCUCCUAAAAGGUAACGGAGGCGUGCAAAGGUUUCUUCAGGCUGGUCGGAAAUCAGUCGUAGAGUAUAAAGGCAUAAAGAAGCUUGACUGCGAGACUUACAAGUCGAGCAGAGACGAAAGUCGGCCUUAGUGAUCCGGCAGUGCUGAGUGGAAAGGCUGUCGCUCAACGGAUAAAAGUUAC
rnacentral:rRNA from 1 species